rnacentral:rRNA from 1 species
GACGAACGCUGGCGGCGUGCCUAAUACAUGCAAGUAGAACGCUGAAGAGAGGAGCUUACUCUUCUUGGAUGAGUUGCGAACGGGUGAGUAACGCGUAGGUAACCUGCCUUGUAGCGGGGAUAACCUUUGGAAACGAUAACUAAUACCGCAUAACAAUGGAAUAAACCUGUCCUUUAAUUGAAAGGGGCAAUUUCUCCACUACAAGGAGGACCUGCGUUGUAUUAGCUAGUAGGUGAGGUAAUGGCUCACCUAGGCGACGAUACAUAGCCGACCUGAGAGGGUGAUCGGCCACACUGGGACUGAGACACGGCCCAGACUCCUACGGGAGGCAGCAGUAGGGAAUCUUCGGCAAUGGGGGCAACCCUGACCGAGCAACGCCGCGUGAGUGAAGAAGGUUUUCGGAUCGUAAAGCUCUGUUGUAAGUCAAGAACGGGUGUGAGAGUGGAAAGUUCACACUGUGACGGUAGCUUACCAGAAAGAGACGGCUAACUACGUG